GCCCUGGUGGUGCAAUGGUUAAGCACUUGGCUACUAACUGAAAGGCUGGUGGUUCAAACCCACUCAGUGGCU
rnacentral:tRNA from 1 species